GCCCAGGUGGCUCAGUGGUUGAGCAUCUGUCUUCGACUCAGGUCGUGAUCCUGGGGUCCUGGGGUCGAAUCCUAGAUCAGGCU
rnacentral:tRNA from 1 species